rnacentral:lncRNA from 1 species
AACAAACCUAAAAUCAAUAUGAAAAACAGCCCCUUUUUUUCUCUUUUGAAUCUUUUCUCUUUUCUUUCUUUUUUUUUCUUUUUUUUGGGCUACCUCAAAAACUGAUUAUAUGAACAAAAGAAUACAAAAGAGCAAUUCGCUACACACACACUCUCUCUCUCUCUAGAGUAAGGCCGAACAAGUAUGGAGUUAUCUUUCUUUUUGGAUCACAGAAGGACUUCGCAACAGAUUCGACAGAGAGAAGAUAUGGUAAUACUCGGCUGUGUAUAGAUGGUGACAAGAACUCGAAACUCUAAAGGACUAGACACUAAGACCAGCAACUCGACACAAACCGAAGCAACGCAAAUUCAACAAGCCCUAACUAAAACGGUACUAGCCAAGGCACAAAGGUUUAAUAGGAUUAUGGAAAAACUAAUCUACUAUAUUUUUUUGGCUUUUCUGGACUAUAGGAAAUUAAUUAAAAACAGCAAAGGAUUAGAAGUCUCUCACCGAAGAACCUUGCUCUGAUUACCAAUUGAUGCGAACCCACUAGGGUUUUUGCCCGAUCUUUUGAUGAGAGACGGGGAUAACUCAAUUGGUGGAUGGAGAUGACGUUCACGGCCCGACUACAGCCCUCAAGACCGCGCCUUAGCAACCGAUACACCACGUCCAAUAGCCGCCACGAUCUUGUGGAGCGCGACAACCAGCCCCUAGGGCUCCCGUCCUGCAAGCAAUCGAAGAACUAGCAAGAACGAGGAAACAAGCACUGAAUUUGCAAGAUGAAUUGAAGGUUUCAAACUGAAUCGUAAUCAACAAU